rnacentral:lncRNA from 1 species
AAAAUAUUUUAAAAUCUCGCUUCACUGUAGUAGGUUAACAGAAAAAAAUAAAUAAAAAAAAAAUGUAUCGUAUCGCGCGUAUAGAAAAAUUGUUGCAAUCUGUGGGAAUUUCUGACUUUGACGUAUAAAACGAAUUUUUGCAUGUGUCUGACCUCACGCGAAACGGACGGACGCGAAUACAAUGACGCUUUAUUAAUAAUAAAGUCAAAAGUGACUUUUUUCGGGGGGAACCUUGCCUCCGAUUCGCGUGUUGUGUGCGUGUGUGUGUGUGCGCGCAUUUUUACCCGUUCCCGUUUGGGUUUGCGGAAAGAAACGAUGAGGAGACCGCAUUGGGACAUUCAGCCAGAAACGUGACGCCGCACCACAUUGUACAAAAGUUAAAUUGCUCUGUUACAACAUUGGCCGCCAUCCAUUUACAUCGCGAUUUCGAACUUAGAAAGGACGUGUUCGGAAAUUUAAUCCCCACCGUUCUCUCUUUCUCUCUCAUCCCGUUGUUAUGGUUACUGUUUCGAUUUCCGAAUCUCCACCGAGAUAAAGUGCAGUCGAUUUCCGAACGUGUCACGUCGAUUCCGCAUUACUUUUUAAAGAACCCAGUCCGUCCGAAGUCUUUAAUGAUUGACAGCAUCGGAGGACAGACAUAAAAGCUUUGUAAUGACAAAUAAUAUAUGAAUCUCCCCCUUCCUAGGCGAACGUGUGACACACACACAGAUUAAUCCUGGUUAUUAAUUCGUAAGAAAGAUGAAUGCUUCCUUUUAUCAGCUGACGUCGGAGAGGAGAAAAAAAAAAAAAAAAAGGUUAAUGUAUUAACCCCGUCGGUCUGACUCAGCCUUACAUUCUCCGUAGUAAUUUUAGAGUUCAGAAGUCCCGAUCGAGCGCACCGUCCAAAAAUAGAUGGUUAAGAUAAACAAGCGUAUCCACGUGACUGAAUGGAACCACUUUGCUUGAGAAACAAGUAGGGUCUGUCGCUGUUUGUAACCCGAUAUGAUGUGAAUAUAACCAGCUGUCUGUUAGUCGGCCGGUCACGUGAUUCGGCAAACACCCUGUUACGUAAGCUUUCAUGUACCGAGGUGUUUAAAUGAAUGCUUUUCUAUCCGUAAGUCGUCGGGUGACAGCUUAUCAGCCGAGUUCGAUUGGGAGGCGAUGACAAGUUGUCUUAAGAGACUGAAAAUGUGUUGAUCGUGCUUCACCAAACAAAGAGGAUUAAAUUCUGUACGUCAAAGUAGAUAAAACCGUGCUGUAAGAGAACGACUAAUGCCGUUAAAGGUCACAGUGCAACUACGGAAUCGAUCCGGUUUAUUCGGAGUUGUGUCGAAAAUAUUGAUCAUAAAUAAGCAUUUUUAUACGAUCCUUCCAGUAUAAAACCGAAAAUGACAAGUUCUGGAAGGGGGGAUGAGGGAAUCGUUGAUGUGAGUAUCUGUUAUUCACGUUCGGAUGAAGCUUGGAGAAGAGGUCAGUCCAGAGACGUGACGGGCCAGAAAAUCGCACAUUAAUUCUCCUAAUGGCUUACUGCUGUACUUCCUAACUCUAUACAAUGCGUGGUUGAACUGUUCUGUUUACACCGUAGCGAAUUAAGGAGCCGAGAGUGCAACCACAUGACUAAAACAUGCAAAGCAAACACCGUUCCCCUCGUUGCAUUUAGCAUAAACUUACUUCUACUGCACGUUUCCAACUUUCCUACUCUACAAUUCCUCGAAUAUGUAUAUAUAUAUAUAUUUUUCAUAAAUAAAGAAGAAGAAAACUCUCCUCUUUGCUUAAUAUGCGAGAUAGAUAAAAAUCUGCAAGAUUAAUAAUAAUAAAAAAAAGAUAUAUCUCGAGGUUCUAAAAAAUUGUUUGCUCAGCAGUCUUUCAAAAAAAAAAAAUCCUAUAGAAUUUUGCAUUUUUUUUUUUUUUUUUUAAUAAGUUCAAUUUUUGUUAAGGC